rnacentral:rRNA from 1 species
AAGAUGGCGACCGGCGCACGGGUGAGUAACACGUAUCCAACCUGCCGAUAACUCCGGAAUAGCCUUUCGAAAGAAAGAUUAAUACCGGAUAGCAUACGAAUAUCGCAUGAUAUUUUUUUUAAAGAAUUUCGGUUAUCGAUGGGGAUGCGUUCCAUUAGUUUGUUGGCGGGGUAACGGCCCACCAAGACUACGAUGGAUAGGGGUUCUGAGAGGAAGGUCCCCCACAUUGGAACUGAGACACGGUCCAA